rnacentral:rRNA from 1 species
UACGGAGGGUGCGAGCGUUGUCCGGAAUCACUGGGCGUAAAGGGCGCGUAGGCGGCUUGAUAAGUAGGGGGUGAAAUCCUGCGGCUUAACCGCAGGGCUGCCUUCUAAACUGUCAGGCUCGAGCACAGUAGAGGCAGGUGGAAUUCCCGGUGUAGCGGUGGAAUGCGUAGAGAUCGGGAAGAACAUCAGUGGCGAAGGCGGCCUGCUGGGCUGUUGCUGACGCUGAGGCGCGACAGCGUGAGGAGCAAACAGG